AAAAGGAAGAAAAAGAGAAUCUUUUUGUACCUUUUUGGAUCUGAGGGAAAGGACGCGUGCUGAUCGUCCAAGGAAUCCAACAGCAUCUGCCUCCUUAAUUAUUGACCGUCGGAUCCUGAUUCAUAUUUGUCGUAUUAGCGGCCUUUCUGGUGGGCUCGGAGGCCCAUUGUGGCGACUGAUUCGGCCCAUCGAUUCAUUGCCGCAGGGAGUUUCUUUGCUGCCGACGAGCGGCUGUUUCCUUUCUCCUCCGCCGCCGUCGCUCACUAUGGUGAACGAGACCCGAGAGUAGAACCGUAAUGGUGUAAGGUGUUACAAGGCUCCGUCAUAUCUAAAUUCUCAAUUUCCUGAGCCGUACGUCGCCGUCGCCGUCGCUAUCGCCACCGUCUGUAAGUUUUGUGUGUCGCCGUUGUCCGAAUCGCCAUAUUCAGGGCUCUCGUUUGGUAUAACACCAAUUCGUGUUCGAAUUCGUCGCUUGGAGAGGUUAAUUGUUCGAAUGGGGCAGACCGAAACCCCGGCAGAAAGCAGAUAUAUUCCCUCAAUUCAGCCCCAAGAAGACGAGGGCAUAGAAGAAAACAAGGAAGAAAAAGACGAAAAACCCGAAAACGGAACAAGCACGAAGAAGAAAACCUCUGGAGUUCAACAGCAUCCAUAGGUAGUUCCCAAACUUUUUGGAACGAAGUAAGAUGUAUUUCUUUUUGUUUUAGGGAUAGAUUUGUGCCUAGUCUAGUCGGGAAGCUUCUGAGCUUCCACAGGUCUAAAGAACUCAAAUCUUUCCUUUGAUAUCGAUGUGAUGAAAAACCCAGCUGGGAAUUGGGAUCUCACUCCAACCUUUCCUGUGGCCCAUCUCUGGGGUCACUACAAAGAUGCAAUAAUGGAGAAUCCACGUGAGAGAGGAGCUAGAGGGACCUCUUGUUCAAGAUUAGAUCUUAUUGUGGACCACAUCAAGACGUCAAAUUGUGGAGAAAUGCACAUGAGAGAUAGAGGAUUCUGGUAGCAUGCUAUUUGGAUUAUUCUGGAGAGAGAGAGAUGGAGAAGAUUCUGGUUAGAUGCCACUUGAAUUAUUGAAGAGAGAGAAAGAGAGUGGGAGAUUCUGAUAAGGAGUUAUUUGAAUCAUCCCAAGCCUUAGGAGUUACUUUAAGAAGCACUAAAGCAGAGUGAGAGAUAAGAAACUGCCCCAAUUAUCCAAAGGCUGAGCCCUGAGGAGUAACUUUAAGAAGCAGAGAGAUAUAUAGAUGAGAGAUUCUGAUAAGGAGCUAUUUGAAUGAUCCCCAGACUGAAGACCCAAGUAACUUAAAAGGAAGGAGGUUCGUUGUAUUUGUAAAACAGUGCAAACAAAGUCUCACGUUGUCUUACAUUAGCUAUGGUACGUAAGAGAAGAUAAUUAUCUCUAUUUGUAUGAAGUCUUUUGAAUGGAACAAAAAGCAAAACCGUGAAGAUUAUAUCUAAAGCGGACAAUAUCAUACAAUUGUGGAGAUAUUUAAGAUAUUGGAUACCGUUAUACUUCACAAGGUUGAAUUGUAUCUUUAAGAAUAAGACAGUUCAUAGAGAGGCUAUCUUGACAUGGUAACUAAGUGGCACAGCAUCUCUCUCUGUGUAUAGAAUAUGUAUCCAAAUUCCAAAUGUUGCUGAAAAUGUCAUGUUGGUGGGCCGCCUACCACUUUUAACAACAGUAGCAGCACGGACAGCGAUGGCUGCAGCCUGCCACGUGUGUAACUUGCGUAGGAGUUCAGCCACAUAGGCAAUAAUUUACAGCUCAACAAUUCGACAUCAUUCCGAGGAAGUUUCCAAAUCGAUCAUUUUGAAGUUGCUCAUUUAUUUUCAGGCUUAUUUGUUUGGUUCAAGAAUUACGGGGUGAAAAUCGAUCGAACAUGAGUGAUUGCACAUUUAGAUUGACUUUUUGAGAUAUUUUAAGUAGGCAAGAACUUGAAUGGUAAAUGUAAUAGCUGAUUUCAAGUUAUGCAAAAAAAAUUUAGU